rnacentral:rRNA from 1 species
AUUGAACGCUGGCGGCAUGCCUUACACAUGCAAGUCGAACGGCAGCGGACCUUCGGGUGCCGGCGAGUGGCGAACGGGUGAGUAAUAUAUCGGAACGUACCUUUCAGUGGGGGAUAACGUAGCGAAAGUUACGCUAAUACCGCAUAUUCUGUGAGCAGGAAAGCAGGGGAUCGCAAGACCUUGCGCUGAUUGAGCGGCCGAUAUCAGAUUAGCUAGUUGGUGAGGUAAAGGCUCACCAAGGCGACGAUCUGUAGCGGGUCUGAGAGGAUGAUCCGCCACACUGGAACUGAGACACGGUCCAGACUCCUACGGGAGGCAGCAGUGGGGAAUUUUGGACAAUGGGCGCAAGCCUGAUCCAGCCAUGCCGCGUGAGUGAAGAAGGCCUUCGGUU